AAAUUUAUCUUCUAGUUGCACAGAGAAUGUGUACCAGAGCUUUCGGCUGUUCAUAAAUUUGUAACAGCACCUUCUUCCAGGCAAAUAUUAAAUAUCUUCCCCUACUGUGUUAGAGAUCUCUUUCCAUUUUUUAUCUAACAUAAAAAAUGAAUAAAGAGACUGGUAAGUCUGGUGAGAAGAGGAAGAGGACUGCAGGAGUAGAAAAAGAUCUGUCCAUGUUGAAAUGAAAACAACUGGAUAGCACCCCCGACAAAGUAUUGAAGACUCGGAGUGAACUUCCACCAAAAGAGAAGCCAUCUACGUUCAAAAAAGCCUUUCAAGACUCUUUGCUUCAAGAAGGUAAAUACAAAGACUGGCUGCAGAAAGUAGAAAACAAUAGUUUUUUAGCUUAUUGCAAAUGUUGUGAUGUAAAAAUCCAGGCAGGUACUCGUGAGUUAGAUAAGCACGUUAAUGGUAAAAAACAUAAACAAAAGAUUGAGACAGUAUCUAAUACAAAGAAAAUUGACGAUAUGUUUAAUAAACAAGAUUGUGAAAUUAAAAAAGCACAAAAAUUUGAAGAGCAAGUUAAAGAUGCAGAGAUUAGAAUGGCCUGUUACUUUGCUGAACAUGUCAGUAUUCAAUCUGGAGAACACUUGACUGAAGUAGUUAAAAAAUGUUUCCCUGAUUCCAAAAUUGCUGAGGCUGUAACAUUAAAGAAAGAUAAAUGCACUGCUAUAAUUAGCAAUGUUUUAGCAAACUGAGACUGAGGAACUUGUAGAAAAAUAGAAAGUUAAUGAAUUUAGUGUAUUUGUGGAUGAAUCUACUUCAGGGAAUAAAUAUCUCAUUGUUGUGCAGUAUGUUAAUCGAUCCAAUGGCAAAAUUACUUCACAAUUGUUAGAAUUAUUAGAACUUGACCCCAAAAAUUGCACUGCAGAGGGGAUUUACACUACUUUUAAAGAGUCUAUAAUGGAGAAAAAUAUUCCUUUGAAUAAUAUUUUAGGUGUAGCCUGUGAUGGUGGCAGUGUAAUGAUCGGGCCAAAGAACUCAGUUUUCUCUAAACUGAGAGAAGAUGUUCCACAGAUAGUUUUAGUCAGGUGCAUUUGCCAUACAUUGACUCUGAUUUCUAGUUCUGCUGCAAGUGCUUUACCUAAUUUUGUGGAGCAAUUUAUAUCAGAUAUGACUAACUAUCCUGCACAUAGUGUAAAAAUGAAAGAAGAAAUUCAGAAGAUGGUGGAAUAUUUUCGAAAGAUCAAAUUAGGAAUGUUAAAAUGAAGUUUAACCAGAUGGUUAGCUUUACACCCAUGUGUUAAUAGAGUUUUGAUCUUAUGGGACACCCUGUUUAACUAUAUUCAAUUUGAUUAUCAAUUGCAAAAGCCCUAAAGCAAAAUAUAUUUAUGAUAUAAUGUGCAAUCCAGAACUUAGAGCUUAUUUGUUCUUUUUGAAAUAUGUUUUGGAUUAUAUGAACAAAUUCAAUGCUCUUUUCGAAAGCACAAAACCACUGAUUCAUGGCAUCAGACCGGAAUCUGUGAAACUUUUUAAGCUUAUAGCAGCAAAUUACUUAAAGCCAAAUUUACUGAAUGAAGAACUAUUAAAAAUUAAUGUAGCACAUCCCUCAAUUUUUUAAAAAAUUGAAGACAUUUACAUUGGGCCGGAAUGUGAAAACUACUUAAAAUCUGUUGAUCCAAACUUAGCUUUGAAUGUCAGAAAGAAUAUCCUACACUAUUACAUCACUUGCUGUCAAGACUGCCACUUGAUUCUGUUGUUUUCACAGAAGUUCAAUUUGUAGAUCCUGCAAUAUACCUUAAUGUUAAUGUUGCCAAAGAGAAAAAAGAUAUCACUAAGCUUUGUGCCAUAUUUAAGGUUGAUUUCAAUGCUGCUCAGAGUGAACUCAGAGCCCUGCCAUUAUCUCUUGAAUUAAAUGAAAUUGCAAUUUUAAAAAGCAAACCAAUUGAUGAAAUGUGGCAAGAGAUUUCACAAAUCAAAGAUUAUUCAGGUCGAUUCAUGUUUUCAAAUAUAUCUGAACUGGCUAAAAAGUUUUUCACAUUACCGCAUUCAAAUGCAGCACGUGAAAGAAUUUUUUCCAUGGUAACUGACCAAAAAAACAAAAAAAGAAACUGUAUGACAAACAAAAACACUCAAUUCUAGUAUAGUUAUAAGGUCAGCUUUGAAAGCAAAGCAAGAGAAAUGUUCUAAUUUUGUAAUUACUAUUAAGUACUUGUAUUUACAUUGUAAAAAUAUGUAGAGUAAAAAUGACAGUGAUAGAACUAGUAAAAAUAUUAAUGAUGGUAAAGAUGUUCCUAGUGACAACUCAGACCAUUAGUCAGAAAAUGGAUAAAACUCAGAGAUUAUAAUAAUAAGGAAAAUUAUAUAAAAGAGUGUUAUUGUUCUUUCUGUUUGCUUUUUUAUCUUAUUUUAUAAUCAUAUGUUUACUUUUUAUUUUUUCAAAGUAACUUUGAUGUUCAGUACACUGCAGGGCACAUGGUGUACUUAUUAAUAGUUUUGUUUUUAAAAUAGUGAAAUUUGUGUAAAAUACAUUGUUUUCUAUCAUUUCACUCCUUCUCCUCAUGUGUAAAAUAUUUUAUUUACUGUAUAAGUAACAUAAGUUUAAAAUUGAAAAACAUGUCUAUAGGUAUAAAAAUUAUAAAUGUGAAAUAUCUCAAACGAAUAAGAAUAAUUUUGGGUAUAAUAUAUAUUAUAUAGUUAUUAAAAACACACAUAUUACGUUCCUUUGAGAUUUUGAAAUAAAAAACUUUAUCUGG